GUGUAGAAUGACCCCAUUUUUGCAAUAACAUGCAAUCAAUACAACUUUCAACAACGGAUCUCUUGGCUCUCGCAUCGAUGAAGAACGCAGCGAAAUGCGAUACGUAAUGUGAAUUGCAGAAUUCAGUGAAUCAUCGAAUCUUUGAACGCACCUUGCGCCCCUUGGUAUUCCGAGGGGCACACCCGUUUGAGUGUCGUGAAUAUCUCAACCUUCUCGGUUUCUUCUGGACACCGAAGGAGGCUUGGACUUUGGAGGCCUUUUGCUGGCGUCUCGUCAGCUCCUCUCAAAUGAAUUAGCGGGGUCCCCUUUGCCGAUCCUUGACAUGUGAUAAGAUGUUUCCGUGUCUUGGCUUCUGGCUCUGUUGCUUUUGGGAUCCGCUUCUA
rnacentral:rRNA from 1 species